rnacentral:tRNA from 1 species
GCGGAGUAGAGCAGUCUGGUAGCUUGCAAGGCUCAUAAUCUUGAGGUCGCAGGUUCAAAUCCUGUCUCCGC